GACAGAGGAUCAAGCGUUAUCCGGAAUGAUUGGGCGUAAAGCGUCUGUAGGUGGCUUUUUAAGUCCGCCGUCAAAUCCAGGGCUCAACCCCUGGACAGGCGGUGGAACUACCAAGCUGGAGUACGGGUAGGGGCAGAGGGAAUUUCCGGUGGAGCGGCUGAAAUGCGUAGAGAUCAGAAAGAACACCAACGGCGAAAGCACUCUGCUGGGCCGACACUGACACUGAGAGACGAAAGCUAGGGGAGCGAAUGGG
rnacentral:rRNA from 1 species